rnacentral:lncRNA from 1 species
UACAAGCUCAUUCUUGUCAUGCCUGCUUUCAUGAGCCUUGAGAAGAGAAUAAUUCUCCAAGCAUAUGGAGCUCAGUUGAUUCUCACAAAUGCAGAGAUGGGUAUUGAUGAGGAAUUUCGUAUUGUUGAAGAGUUACUGAAUAAGAUACCUACCAGUUUUAAUCCCCACCAAUUCAAAAAUCCUGCCAAUCCAAAGGUAUGUAUGCUUUGCUUGGCCAUAAGGCUACUGAUAAAAUAUACUAAUCAGCGGUUUAUGCAGACUCAUUAUGAAACUACUGGCCCGGAAAUCUGGGAAGGCACAAGAGGGCAAGUUGAUAUUUUUGUUUCUGGAAUAGGGACUGGGGGUACAGUAUCUGGUGUUGGCAAUUUCCUUAAAAAGAAAAAUCCGGAGAUCAAGGUAGUAUUAUUUAUGCUUGAGUUUUGAAAUAGUUGAAUUACCUUUUCUUGUGUAAGCAACUGUUCCUGAUUUUUAGUUCUUUCUUUUUGUUUUGAUUUUUGUUCUGCCUUAAGGUUUAUGGCGUUGAACCGGCUGAAAGUGCAAUUCUGAAUGGUGGAAAGGCUGGUGAGUUCUGAAAACUCAUUUCAUUCAAUUUUUUGGAAAUGUUAUAUUGCACUAUUGCAGCAUCAAUAAUAUGCUAAGGUCUUGGUCUUCCUGUAUGCAUGGCAGCAUCAAUGUGCCGCAGCAACUUCAGUUCAAAACUGAUUUUAACAUACUGUAAUGUGGUUAUAGGUCAUCAUAAGAUUCAAGGAAUCGGCAUUGGGUUUGUCCCCAGUGUUUUAGAUGUCAGCAUUCUUGAUGAAGUUGUUCGAGUAAGCUUCCGAACCCUUGUAAAUUGACUUGCUCGUUAAGAAAAGUACAUUUGGAAGAAUAAGUGUUUGUUCACAUAUAGUAAUUCUGAUUCUGAUAAAAAAUUUCCCAUUUCUGACAUAAUAACAGCAUUGUGCCCGCCCAUUUUCUUCUAUGUAUUUUUUCAUGCUUUUUUCUACUUAGCCUUUCAGACUGAUAAUCUUUCAUAUCUUUAAGGUAACAAGCAAUGAAGCCAUUCAAACAGCUAAGCUUCUUGGUGCAAAAGAAGGUUUGCUGGUAUGUGCAAUCUUCCAGGCAUUUCUAGUACUUUCUCCCUCUGUAAAAUCACCAUUAGGAAAAAAUUGAGGAAAUAAAUUACUUUCCGAGUACGUAAGCUUAAAUAUAUGUUCUGCUGUGACAUAGGCUUAUGAUGGCAUCUAAUUGUUGAUGAUGUUUGUGUUUAUAAAUAUUGCAGGUAGGGAUAUCAUCUGGUGCUGCAGCAGCUGCUGCAAUUAAGAUAGCCAAAAGGGCUGAAAAUGCUGGAAAACUCAUUGUCGUAAGCUCAUUCAAAUUCUUUGAGCUGGUUGCAUUCAUUUUCAUUUCAUAUUGCCUACUUAACAUGUUUGACAUGUUCAUUUGGACAGCCACUGAAUUUGACGCAUAGAAAGCAUAAAUUUAGCUGUUAUAUAAUCCUUAUAUCAACUAACAUUUUCUUAAUCAACUUUGCAACAUGAUUUAACAAGCCCUUAUCAUGCCACUCCAAACUUCAGCAUUGUUGAGAUAAACAUCAUUGACUCAGUUCAACAACUGCUUCUCUCAAUCAUUGCAGGUGAUCUUUCCGAGCUCAGGAGAGCGGUAUCUGUCAUCUGAGAUGUUUGAUGCUGAGAGGCAGGCAGCUGAAAACAUGGCUUAUGUCUCAAAUAUUGCCUAAUGUUUGAGUUUCAGACCUCAAGUGGAACCAAUAUGCUCUCAAAAUAAAGUUAUGCUCCUGAGUUGUAAUAGUAGUUGCAGUGAAAAAGAGGAUGUGUUUGCUUCUGCUUUUGUAAUUCUAAUGCACAAUUGACAAUUUGGUUGGUUCCAUUUAAUGUGAUGCAUUUCUUGAACUAUUUUAAUCAAAUCAGUAAAUUUGACCGAUAGCUACAGCUUGCUAAUUUUCAGUACCAUCAAACAUAUUUUAAAAUAAUUAAAGACACUUUUAUACUGGUUUUGUAGUGUUUACAAGACAAGAAAAAUAAAAAAGAUUUUACCAGGUCCAAAAAACCACCUGCAGUUAUUGUAGAAAAGCACUUUUUUUAGUAUAAAAAUACUUGGAAGUGCUUUCCAAAAAAGGAUCACAUGUUUCACAAAAAAAUGCUUCUGCAGAAGUGUUUUUGUUUAACUUGAAAAAGCCUAUUGAUACAAGCAUUCGCAGACAUACCACGGCUGGGAUUUAAAAUGGGCCUGGGUCGGAUUGGCAACUCCAAGGACGGGCUCAACUUUGGCGGACGGGGCCGAGCCUGAGCCCACAAAACUGCUUCCUCUCCAUCACACGUGGCACGGCAAGUGACAAAUUUCUCUCACAACAGAUCUCCCUCUCGCCCGCACAGGGCUCAACAUUCCAUUUCCAUUUCCGUUUCUUACCCAAACACGCACGGAUCUAAGAGAGCUUCGGAAUAUGGCUUUAAUGGCCGUAUUAGAAUCCGAUCUUCGAGCUCUCUCAGCUGAAGCUCGCCGUCGCUAUCCCGCCGUCAAGGACGGAGCUGAGCACGCGAUCUUGAAGGUCGCAAUUCUCACUUGUUUUGUGAUGUAGCCCAGUUUACCACGCCCACAAAUCACAAUCUUGACUGACUGUGCCCAUUGUAGGUAGUUUCUACCAUUUAAUUUGUGGGCUGUAAUAUGAAGAGAUGCAUCGCUUCCGGAAAGAGAAGCAAUUGGGAUGGAACUAGGCUCAGCCAUAGAUUGGCUAGAUGUUGAAGAUCCGGUAUUGUCACCAGAUGAGAUGUCGAGAGAGCGUUAUCUAUCCACAGCAUUGUUUGAAUCCAUUAGAAAUGAAGUGCAAAAUAUGUCCAUUGAUUAAGACGUCACAAAGUUUAGGAAGCAGCUGCCUGAAUUUAGGACAAACAUCCCUGUAUUUUCCACACGAGCCAGCCUAUGUUCGCCUAUCCAUUAUCCGACCGUAUUUUAGUUCUUCUGAAGUUGUGACGGUUAGAUUCUAGAGAAUGGAACUAAGCCUUCAACAGAAGAAGAUUCAAUGUAUUCUGUAUGUACAAUUGCAAUUUAGAUAAUCAAUCUGUUAAUGAAGCAAUGUAUUGUAAAAUAAUCUCAAAUUUGCUUGCUUUUGUUUUCAAGUUUUGGAUAAGUUUGACAGAUAGUUGUUGUUGUUGUUGUUUGCAACUAACCUAAUUCUGCAAUGAAAAUUAAACCUUAAAUAUACCAAAAUUUGAAAACCAAAUGAAACAUUUAUGAUCACUAAUGACAGUUCUAAGUAAAAUGAGUUGUUCAAGCACUUUUUUUUUUUUUUUUGGAUCUUAACCACGAGGUAUCUUGGGGAGAGCCUCAACUGUAGGAGGCACAUUUAAGCAUGUACCACAACCCAGAUUAGAAGUCUCCGCUCGAAUCGGAAGGCAUAUGUUCUCCCAACAAAGGCGACUUCCCUACGACUCGAAUUGGAAAGCAAGCUCAGUCAAGCCACUUAAGGGGAUUUCAUUACAAGUGGAGCCAACAGGUUCAAGCACUUUAAUUAAUACAUAAUUAUACAGGGAGUUUAUUAUGCAUUAACAGCCAGUUUUAGUUCCCUAACUAUAAGUUAGCAUUUAAUGCAUUGUAGUUUCACUCUCUCUUUCUUCAGCGACGCGACAGAAUUUAUGCGGAUAAUAGAAUCGGAGAACCGAUUACCGGGCAGGUCAUAUCAUGCCAUCGCUCUGCAAAACGAAGUUAAUGUAUAUAAAAUGAUCGAAAGCUUUUGUACUGUUUCUGCAUGAAAUUGUUAAGAGUAUAAUAAAUACUAUUGUUGAGCCGUUACCUAUAAGCUUAAGCUUUUGGUUGAGGUAGAGACUUUUGUCAUCACUAGAAACAAUUGUCUUUUGCCAACUUUAUCUGACUAAUUUCUGAGAAAGCAUUUUACCAACUUCAGUUCUAACUGUCUAAAUAAGCAACAUUUUCUUCCUCUCUUAGCAACUCCUGCAGAAUAGACAAAAAAGCCAUUUUAUCUUCCUUUUUAGUAAUUCCUGCAGUAUAGACAAAAAGCCAGUGUGUUAAUUAAAAGCCAGUGUAAUUCCUGCCACCUAUUCUUUAGCUUGUCAGCUAUAAAUAGCUGUGAUUGCUGCAUAAAUUUGACCGUUCAGUGUUCUUGAGUUGUUGAAGCCAUUGUAUUCGGGUACUUGAAGCUUUUCUUUGUGUUUGAUUUAAUUUUUGUUCUACUGAUGUAUAUUAUUUCAAGUUACUAGUUUAUAAUUUUCUUCCCAGGCUUACUCAUAUGAUUCAUGUAAUUUCUUGGUACCUUAUACCCUUCUUGAAUCCAAGUUUGGAAUUCUUUGAUCGGUUUCUUCAAAUACUGAAUUCACUUCCCCACUUUAUGCUUAUUAAUCUUUUGACUUCUAACACUCUUUAACUCUUUUUUCAGCUGAGGGAAAUAUGGGAUCAGAGAAGUGUGCCAUUGCAAACGAUAUAACCGAAGUAAAAUGCCUUCAUCUAAUUCUGAUUUUUCAUUUUUUCCUUUCAUAUGCUCUGAGAUUUUCUCAUUUUGUUGCAUAUUUUAUUAUCAGUUGAUUGGCAAUACCCCAAUGGUUUACCUCAACAAUAUUGUGGAUGGUUGCAAGGCACGUAUUGCUGCUAAGCUAGAGAUGAUGGAACCCUGUUCUAGUGUCAAAGACAGGUAAUACUUGAAACCUAUCCUUAAUCUUCUGUUGAUCUUUCUUUUUGGCACAUCUUAGUAGUAAUUGAUAUUGAAUAUUAUCUUUGUACUAAUUUUCAUUUUUGUUAUUUCUCCAAAUUUUUUGGGUUCACUUCAUACAAGUUGGCUUCAAUCACUGAUAUGCAGGAUUGCAUUUAGUAUGAUCAAAGAUGCUGAAGAGAAGGGCCUUAUCACACCAGGGAAGGUUGUUAACUUUCCUUUUUUCUUCUAUCAAGAAAAUAUCAACAUAAGUCUCUUUAAGAGUUAUUGUGAUUUGUAAGCAUACUGGAAUGAAAAUGAACUGGGAAGUAGUUUUGGGAUUAAUCAAUUUUCCACGUGAAUGAAUAAAGACUGUCCUCAUUGAAUGUACAAGUGGAAAUACCGGCAUAGGGAUGGCAUGCUUUGCAGCAGCUAAGGGUUACAAGCUCAUUCUUGUCAUGCCUGCUUUCAUGAGCCUUGAGAAGAGAAUAAUUCUCCAAGCAUAUGGAGCUCAGUUGAUUCUCACAAAUGCAGAGAUGGGUAUUGAUGAGGAAUUUCGUAUUGUUGAAGAGUUACUGAAUAAGAUACCUACCAGUUUUAAUCCCCACCAAUUCAAAAAUCCUGCCAAUCCAAAGGUAUGUAUGCUUUGCUUGGCCAUAAGGCUACUGAUAAAAUAUACUAAUCAGCGGUUUAUGCAGACUCAUUAUGAAACUACUGGCCCGGAAAUCUGGGAA